UGAGAAAGGCGUUUGCUGGCAUC
rnacentral:piRNA from 1 species